AUAGUGCUAAAAGGAGAAACAGAGCUAAAAUCUUCUCUGCUGUCAUUGGGUAAAACAGUGAAUGACCUGGGGCGGUGUGUAACAUGUCCUGAGCCUCUCGCUUUACAUUCUCAAGGACACCGUUCCAGCCCAGAGGCUACGUCCACCACAAGACGUGGGAGAGCGGAACUUCCAGAAAGCUGGAAGAGACCCUUUCAGGUGCUGAUAGCAACACACACCAUCCUUCAGGUUGAAGAAAUGAACGGGUGGAUACAUUACACGCAAGUCAAGUCGACGCCGAGUUGGGAGUGGAGAACUGUCCUUGAGCCCAGGAAUCCUCUCCAGAGGAAACUGCAGAGAAGAACCGGAGACUGACAUUUGAAAACCAAGGAGAGGGAGAAGUGGCUGUGGCAGAGAUGCUCUGUGCCGACCAGAGAGGGAGCUUCUUGAAGGAAUCAGCUGGUGGCAGUGAUCAGCCAGGGACAGGACCGAGUGCUGUAAUUGGCUUCAAGUGUGCAGUCUUCUCCCUCCAGAGAUCAAAGGCAUUCCUGUCCCCUCUCUGGAUUGAGAAGACCUGGGAAACCUCUUUGGAUCAGAGCUGCCAAGAAAAGGGAUGGGAUGAGAAGCACUGGUGAUGGAUGCAUCCAAAGCAGUGGGACUGGCGAGGGAGGAGAGUCCGGCCCUCUGCUCCGCUCUGAGGGAGCAGUGCCUGUGGCAGAGAUGUUCUGUGCGUCCAAAGC